rnacentral:rRNA from 1 species
AAUGAACGCUGGCGGCGUGCCUAACACAUGCAAGUCGAGCGAGAAAGUCUCUUCGGAGAUAAGUACAGCGGCGGACGGGUGAGUAACGCGUGAGAAUUUACCCUUUAGUGAAGAAUACCUCUGAGAAAUCAGGGCUAAUACUGCAUACGUCCCUACGGGGAGAAAGGUGGCCUCUUUGCUGCCGCUAAAGGAUAAGCUUGCGUACUAUUAGCUAGUUGGUGAGGUAAAGGCUCACCAAGGCGAUGAUGGUUAGCCGGCCUGAGAGGGUGUACGGCCACACUGGAACUUAGACACGGUCCAGACUCCUACGGGAGGCAGCAGUGAGGAAUAUUGCGCAAUGGGCGAAAGCCUGACGCAGCGACGCCGCGUGGAGGAUGAAGGUCUACGGAUUGUAAACUCCUGUUAAGUGGGAAGAAAGACCUAUUUCUAAUACAGAUAGGGGAUGACGGUACCAUUAGAGAAAGCACCGGCUAACUUCGUUCCAGCAGCCGCGGUAAU